GCAGUUUGUACUGUUGUUGGUAUUAUCAUAAAUAUAUGGCAGCAAUACGACUAGGGGAGACGCCAUUUAUGGGAUUCCUACCUUGUGCAACAUUUGCAUUGAGGGUGAAAGUUAGAACGUUAUUUGGAGUUAAGGGUUCAAUUGUUGAAGAUUUUCUAUCAACUCUGUUUUGUGAACCCUGUGCAAUAUGUCAGAUGUCUAGGGAGUUGGACGACGUGGGACUAUAAACAAAUAUAUAAAAUAAUGUGAAUUAUAACGUUUUAAUAAAUUAAGCCGCUUAUAGCGUUGUAAAUAAUUUCAUAAUUUUAUGUGUACAUGUGUGUCUUUUUUUAUUAUAUAAAUGGUAAUGAAUGGAAUAAUUGUGAAAUAAAAAAAUAAACUAG